GCCAAGAUGGCCGAGUGGUUAAGGCGCUGCACUCAAGACUCUGUCUUAGCCAGUCAACUGGAAAUAUUGCAGUAUCGAAAGAUGCUUGGGUUCGAAUCCCAAUCUUGGCA